GUAACCCUGCUGUAACCUGGCUGUAAUAUACCAGGCAAUAAUACAGGAUUGCUGUAAAUAACGCGCCACCUGACGUCACAUCACACAGACAGAAGAACACGGCCGCUGGUGACUGGAGAAGCAGAACGGUGUAUUUCUGGAAGUUUGCAGUGUGGUCCACUUGUCUUUGCAUCCUGGGAAGUGCAUUGCUUUCACAAGGAAGCGUAUUUUUUUGGCAUUGAAGGAAAGAAAUGUACUGCCCGACAGGGAGUGAGCAGAAGACCAGGACGGUGGUGCAGAGUGAUGGCCAUCAACCCACAUGUCAACAGCUUCGUUCGGUCCUUUGUGUUUAAAUGGAAGACUUCACACUGAGGGACUGUGGCCUGUUUGCAACCAUCCACGUGCCCUUCAGUUAGGGGUGAAUCUUGUGGGACACUUGUUGUUUUUGCUCACUUUUUAAGAUAAAUCAAAUUUCUGAUGCACUGUACCAAGACCGUUGCUGAUGGGGCGAAAGAUGGUGACAAUUCUGAAAUGUUUUGAAAUGUUUAAAUAUAUUGAUUGAAUAAAAAUACA